UGAUUACUGAUUCAAUUUCGUUGCUGGUAAUUGGUCUGUUUAGAUUUUCUGUUUCUUUCUUGGACAAUCUUGGCCUAACUUCUUGGUUUUUAAAGUGGACUCUUAACCUUAAGAUAGAAUACUUCCUGCUCUUACUAUACUGUUCAUAUCUUGGCUUUUUGAACAAUUAAUCAUGAUGCUUGUCUCCUGUCUCUGCCUUCCAUCACAACCAUUACUACUAUCAAUUUUAAAACAUGUCGUCACCCUAGUAAGCAGCCCCUUGUCCAUUAGAAGUCACUCCCCAUUUCCUCCAAACUCCCCCACACCUACUUUUUGUCUUUACCGAUUUGCUUAUAUUGGAUGUUUCAUUUGUGGAAUCAUACAACUUUUGGCCUUUUAUGGUUGACUUCUUUCACUUAAAAUAGUAUUUUCAGAAUUCAUCCAUAUUCUAGGAUGUAUCAGUAUUUCAUUGCUUUUUAUUGCCUAUAAAGCAAUUGUGUGGACAUAGCACAUUUUAUUUAUCUGUUUAUUAGUUGAUGGACAUUUGGGUUGUUUCUGCUUUUUGUCUGUUAUGAGUAAUGCUGCUAUGAACAUUUAUAUACAAGCCUUUGAAUGGCAUAUGUUUUCAUGUUUCUCCCACCUAGCAGUAAAAUUCCUGGAUCAUAUGAUAAAGCUGUAUUUAUCCUUUUGAAGACCUGCUAGACUGUUUUCCAUAGCCCCUUCACCAUUUUUCAUUCCCACCAGCAGUAUAUGAGAGUUCUGACUUCCUUAACUGCAGUUAAUUAUCUGUCUUUUAUAUUACAGCCAUCCUAGUAGGUUUGAAGCAAUAUCUCAUUGUAGCUUGGAUUUGUAUUUCCCUGAUGGCUAAUAGUGUUGAGCAUCUUAUUCAUGUCCAAAAAUUUAAAACCAACUAAGAGCCGCUUAAAAAGGCCCUAAGAAACCUCUCAGAUUAGAAUCUUUUAUGCUUGCAAGGUACCAAACUGACUGUUUGGUUACUCGGAGGUAUGCUUGUAUAGGAAUAACAGGGUAAAUGCUUGAUUCUUUCCCUUUAUUUACUAUUUUUCAGAAAAUUGAGUCAUGCAUAAUUUAAAACCAAAGUAAAUGAAUACAGAGUGAUUUUAUACCUGUUGCUUUCUUAUCUAGAGUAAGAGUUGAUAUUAAUGCCAUUAGGGGAAUUAUAUACAUAUAUAUAAAUAUUAUUUUAAAAGACUGGACUAGAUGAUCUCUAAGGUCUCAUUUAGCCAUAAUAGGCUAUGCCUUUUUUUACUCAUGAAAAACAUUUAUCUCAGUAGUAAGUAACUGUAUAAGAAUUUAUUGCAAUGCUUCAGUGUUCUCUGGAGAGUAGACAUGUCUUUAUCGUAUAACAUGCUUUAUUUGCCAUGAAAUUUGCCAUAUUUGUGGGUUUGUCUCAGAAUCUCUGGUCCUCGAAGAUUAGCUAAGAGGGCACGCAGCAGGGCCCGGAGAAAUAGUUUAAUCAAUAUUAUACAUGAGAGCAAAUUUAUCAAGGUAACAGUGGGUGAGAAAAGGAGGCUACUGGAAACUGCAUUGUGAUUCCACUUUUGUAAAAUAAGCAAAGCAAAGAAACUUCCAUCCUUGGACUGUAUGAAAGAGAGAGAGAGAGAGAGAGAGAGAAAGGACAAUCUGUUAGAUUAUGUAGGUAUAGAGGAAAAUAUGGAAGAAGCUACACUAGAUUAUUAAUACAGCUUUCUGGGGGCAUUGGGGCAAGGAGGAAAUUUAGAUACUGAUUUAGGAGGAAGAGAUAGUGGGCAGGGAAGAGAUAUUCAUGAGUAAAAUACAUAAGAGGUUUAUUUGUGUAAUACUGUAUUUGUAUGUAUUCAU